AGGUAGCAUAAUCAUUAGUUUAUUAAUUGUGGACUUGUAUGAAUGGUUGGACGAAAUAUUAUCUGUCUCAUAUUUAUAUAUAUAAUUUAAAUUUUUAGUUAAAAUGCUUAAAUUUUUUUAUAGGACGAGAAGACCCUAUAGAUCUUUAUUAUAAAAUUAUUUAUAUUUUUUUGUUUAUUUUUUUAUAAUUAUUUUUAUUUUUUUGUUGGGGUGACAUGGAGAAAUAUAUAACUCUUUAUAUUUUUAUUCAUUUAUUUUUGUUUAAUUGACCUUUUAUUAAUGUUAUAAGAUAUAGAUACCUUAGGGAUAACAGCGUAAUUCUUUUUGAGAGUUCUUAUUGACAAAGGAGAUUGCGACCUCGAUGUUGGAUUAAGAUUAUUAUUGGGUGUAGAUGCUUAAUUAAAUAAGUCUGUUCGACUUUUAAAUUCUUACAUGAUCUGAGUUCAAACCGGAGA
rnacentral:rRNA from 1 species